CGGAGCUGCCUGGCAGCGCCUGAGGCGGACGCUCAGCUGUCCCCGGCGCUUCGAGGGCCCGACGGGAGGAGGCGACGCUCGCAUCGCGGAGGAGCCCGGCCGCGCACAGGUAUUCAAGAUGGUUCAGUAGUCUCAACAUGGAGCAGCUCAGAUCCUGACAGUUAAGCGUGAUAGCGGGGGACACUGUCUUCGUACCUGGAGCGCCGGAAGAACCCGCACUGCGCACACAAGGAGAACAACAAUUCAGCUCCGAGUUGCUGCCAAAGUACUACAGCUGUAGAGGCAGUAAAUUCUUCCUUCACACAAAUAUGCAGGCCGAGAUCUUCAUUUGGGGGAAAAACAGGGAAUAAAAAGAAGAUGUAAAAAAAAAGAAGUUGCUUCUGUUAAGAUUAAUGAAAUAAAUAAUGUGAAUAACAGAUUCCCUCCACCCCUGCACUGAUUUGCAACAAAGACACUUCAAGAAACACAGAGUUUGGCUUUGACACUGGUCAGAAAAAACCUGAAAACUAUUAAAGCUAAGCAAAGGUCACUGAGAACAACUACAGAUCCUGAGUGGGAAGCAGGCUACACUAAUGUGAUGUUGUUGUCUUUCUUUACACUUACAAAAACCAGAAAAUUCAGUGGUGGUUUCUACCACCAGUAGUAAAACAGCCCCUGGGAACAACUAUAGGUACUACAGUUCAUUCAGGUUCAUGUUCACAAGAGCUUUAAUUUGGAGCCUGGUGGCUGUGGGAAAUGAUAUUUCCUGCUUCCUCUGCAUGUAGGCUGUAACCAUACUUCUGCCUGACAACUUGUCUUUUCUCUUCUGGAAGGGAGAAGACAUUUCACAUGAACAAAUGAAUGAGGUGAUCCUGUUCUCAUUAAAGCAUCAAAAGGUUGUUUAAAAUAGCUGUCAGAGACAAAAGAGGGAAAAAGAUCCAAUGAAGCAGGACCUGUGAAAUAGGAUCUCUGUGUUCAGUUCAGCUAAAGGAUACUGAAGUGCCAGGACGAUUUGCUCUUCUUCCAAGAAGUUACUUGGCAAUAGCAGUGAGUACCAGAAAUUACUGAUCUGCUGAGAGCUUGUGUUUAUUACAUAAUGUUUAUUACCCUCAUGUUUAUUUACAGUAUUUAUGGACUAUGAACACUUAAAACAGAAGAAGCAUUCUGUAAAGUAUUCAAGCAGUAUUCUAGGGAGUAUAAUGAAGUUCCAUUCCCACCCUGCAAACUGGACACAGUGACCCUCAAAAUCAAACAAAAAAACCCAAAGAAACCCAACAACAACCAACCAAACAUUAAGAAGGAAGUGAAACAGUAGUAAUGAAAGAGAAAACAAAGAAACUAAUUGUUUUGCAAGCACCAGAUUUUUUUUUAAACCCAGAUCUAUACAUCUUUUCUUUCUGCACAUAUUACUGGUGCCAAUGGAUGGCCAGAGAAAUAAAAAUAUCUGUUAAUAACAAGAAUUCCUAAUCUUUCCUGUCAGCAAUGCAAUCUUUGAAGGGCCCUGCAACUUUCCUGUAUAUCCAAACGCUCCAGUAAUAGCAAUGGAAAAUAAGAUGGAUAAUAGCCCUGUCAUUCCUUUAAUUUUGUUCAAGAAUAAUUAUAUAGUAAAGGUUAU